rnacentral:rRNA from 1 species
CGUACCCUUCGGUUCGGAAUAACUCAGGGAAACUUGAGCUAAUACCGGAUACGCCCUUUUGGGGAAAGGUUUACUGCCGAAGGAUCGGCCCGCGUCUGAUUAGCUUGUUGGUGGGGUAACGGCCUACCAAGGCGACGAUCAGUAGCUGGUCUGAGAGGAUGAUCAGCCACACUGGGACUGAGACACGGCCCAGACUCCUACGGGAGGCAGCAGUGGGGAAUAUUGGACAAUGGGCGCAAGCCUGAUCCAGCCAUGCCGCGUGAGUGAUGAAGGCCUUAGGGUUGUAAAGCUCUUUUGUCCGGGACGAUAAUGACGGUACCGGAAGAAUAGGCCCCGGCUAACUUCGUGCCAGCAGCCGCGGUAAUACGAAGGGGGCUAGCGUUGCUCGGAAUCACUGGGCGUAAAGGGCGCGUAGGCGGCCGAUUAAGUCGGGGGUGAAAGCCUGUGGCUCAACCACAGAAUUGCCUUCGAUACUGGUUGGCUUGAGACCGGAAGAGGACAGCGGAACUGCGAGU